GCCCGCGAGGCCUAAUGUAUAAGGCGUCUGAUUUCUAAUCAGAGGAUUGUCGGUUCGAUCCCGGCCGUGGGCU
rfam:Nippostrongylus brasiliensis genome assembly, scaffold: NBR_scaffold0002746